UACGUAGGGGGCUAGCGUUGUCCGGAAUCAUUGGGCGUAAAGGGUGCGUAGGUGGCGCUGUAAGUCGGGUGUGAAAUCCUGAGGCUUAACCUCGGAACUGCAUUCGAUACUGCGGCGCUUGAGGACUGGAGAGGAGACUGGAAUUCAUGGUGUAGCAGUGAAAUGCGUAGAGAUCAUGAGGAAGACCAGUGGCGAAGGCGGGUCUCUGGACAGUUCCUGACACUGAGGCACGAAGGCCAGGGGAGCAAACGGG
rnacentral:rRNA from 1 species